GCCUUAGUAGCGGCGAGUGAAGCGGCAAAAGCUCAAAUUUGAAAUCUGGCGCCUUCGGUGUCCGAGUUGUAAUUUGAAGAUUGUAACCUUGGGGUUGGCUCUUGUCUAUGUUUCUUGGAACAGGACGUCACAGAGGGUGAGAAUCCCGUGCGAUGAGAUGCCCAAUUCUAUGUAAGGUGCUUUCGAAGAGUCGAGUUGUUUGGGAAUGCAGCUCUAAGUGGGUGGUAAAUUCCAUCUAAAGCUAAAUAUUGGCGAGAGACCGAUAGCGAACAAGUACAGUGAUGGAAAGAUGAAAAGAACUUUGAAAAGAGAGUGAAAAAGUACGUGAAAUUGUUGAAAGGGAAGGGUUUGAGAUCAGACUCGAUAUUUUGUGAGCCUUGCCUUCGUGGCGGGGUGACCCGCAGCUUAUCGGGCCAGCAUCGGUUUGGGCGGUAGGAUAAUGGCGUAGGAAUGUGACUUUACUUCGGUGAAGUGUUAUAGCCUGCGUUGAUGCUGCCUGCCUAGACCGAGGACUGCGAUUUUAUCAAGGAUGCUGGCAUAAUGAUCCCAAACCGCCCGUCUUG
rnacentral:rRNA from 1 species